rnacentral:ncRNA from 1 species
AUUAGUAGAGGUGCAUGUUUUAAGAGUAUCUUGCAGGAUGCAACAGGUGCAGAAGAAUGUUUGAAAAAGGAGAACAUGCCGAAGUUAUAAAAUGCCUGUAGUUUUAUAGCUGGGCGUAUGUUUAAGAGACAUACGACUGUCAUCGACGAAAGUGAUGGAGUGCUACGU